AAAGGAUGGGUCAUUUUCGCUGUUGUGAUGUUGUCC
rnacentral:sRNA from 1 species